rfam:Dufourea novaeangliae contig2310, whole genome shotgun sequence.
GCCAACGAUCAUAUCACGCUGAGAGCACCAGUUCUCGUCCGAUCACUGAAGUUAAGCAGCAUUGAGCGUGGUUAGUACUUGGAUGGGUGACCGCUUGGGAACACCGCGUAUCGUUGGCA